UUUGCACGACGAACGUAUAUUUCAUCGUGCAAAAUCCUUAAAUUUGGGCGCGCGGCAAAAAUGGGACACAGGAUUUAAAAAAAAAAUAAUAAUUUAAGACUUUGUGCGACCAACACUUCGUCAUGAAAAAUCCUAAAAAUUUGAGCAGGCGCCAAAAAUGGGAUGUGGGAAAUUUUAUUUUUAAAUUUUUUUAAAACAUUGCGCGACCAAUAUUUCGUCACGCAAAGUGAUACGGUUUUUAAAACCAAAAUAACUCCUCCAUAAUUUUCUGAAUGUCUUUCUCUAUUCUCUUACCUCUCAUCUCUUUCCCACUCCCUAAGUCCGACUCUCUCUCUCACACUCACUCCUUUUAUUUAAUCUCUUUUUUCUCUCUUUUCUCUAUCUCUCUCACUCUCACUCAUUAUCUCAUCUAUCUCUCUCACUAUCUCCUCUAACUCUCUCGCACUUACUCCUCUGUCAAAUCCUCAAUCUUGCCAAAAUACAUUUUCUCCCCAAAUUUUAUUUAUUUUUUCAUUAAUAUGUGUUUUGGAGUUAAUUAAUUGGGUUUGGUGUGGGAUAAGGGCAUGCCAAUUUUAGGGGAGAUUAUGCCGAUUUUUUGGUAUUAUUUUAUGUUGCAGUUUGGUUAUUUGACCAUGUUUGUUUUGUUCGUAAGGAAUCAUUGAGACUUUAACAGCAAAAGUUGAGGAUUAAGAUGCUAUCGAACCAUAUAUGUGAAACCCCGUCCCAAAUUUAAGUGUAUUUUCAUAUUGUCGGAUUUAUGAAAUUACCGAAUUACCCUUGAAUUGACUUUGUUUGACCAUCUCGUCGAAACACGUAGUUUUAAUUCUAAUAAUAUAUUCUUAACAUACUCAUCACCACAAAUGCGUAAGUGCCAACAUAUUCGGAUUCAAAUUUAUAACAAAGAUUCUACGUUCAAACGUCAAACAUUUUCGGAUAUUUUAUGUUUCGUAUAUUACGUUCUUAAAUUGCAAACCAAGGGGACCCACAUGGAGAUUUUGGUCCCCUAUCCUCUUACCCAAUUCAGAUUCCCCCUUACUUUUUGGAUUUCCUUUUCUUUACCUCUCUAUCUCUCUUAUAUCAUUUUCUCACCUUCCCUCAUUCUCUCUAACUUUCUCCCCUCUCCCUGAGCUCAUUCUUUGUGCAAACUUUCCCUCCAUUCUUUGAAAAUCACACACAGCAACUACCAUCACCACCACCUGGACGUACAACCCUGAGAAACCCAGGUCGAAUUGGUGGUCCAUCGUGGCAAUCACGGUGAUCGUUUCCCCGACGAGCUCCGGUGGUUUUUGUGAAUUUUCAAAUGAAGGUAAGCUUCUGGAAACCCUUGGGAUGUGUUUUAGGGUUAGAUCGAAGCUUGUUUUAAGUUGUAUAUACGUGUUAAUCGUAGAAAAUAGCUUGGAGUAGCUUUUCCUAGUUUUCCGGCGAACACUGCCACUUUCAAGGCAUUUUUCUGCUAAACCACAGGCAAGGUACCAUUCUCUUCAUCUCGUUGAGUACUACAACUUGGUUUUUAAAUCACUUGAUUUGGUUGAAUAUCGAAAAAGUUAUAAGUGUUUAAAGUUGUGCCCAGAAACUAACCAAACCUUGGCCAGAAAUCGGGUCGACCCGACCCAAUAACCCUCAACCUAGAUUCCUUUGGACCAAGUUACCCAACCCAAUAGGCCCAAUCCCAAACCCAAGUACCCAGCCCAAUUGCC
rnacentral:lncRNA from 1 species